GUGCCAGCAGCCGCGGUAAUACGAAGGGGGCUAGCGUUGCUCGGAAUCACUGGGCGUAAAGCGCACGUAGGCGGGUCGUUAAGUCGGGGGUGAAAUCCUGGAGCUCAACUCCAGAACUGCCUUCGAUACUGGCGAUCUUGGAGUCCGGGAGAGGUGGGUGGAACUGCGAGUGUAGAGGUGAAAUUCGUAGAUAUUCGCAAGAACACCAGUGGCGAAGGCGGCUCACUGGCCCGGUACUGACGCUGAGGUGCGAAAGCGUGGGGAGCAAACAGGAUUAGAUACCCCUGUAGUCC
rnacentral:rRNA from 1 species